rnacentral:rRNA from 1 species
UACAGAGGGGGCUAGCGUUGUUCGGAAUUACUGGGCGUAAAGGGCGCGUAGGUGGCCUGUUAAGUCGAACGUGAAAUCCCCGGGCUCAACCCGGGAACUGCGUCCGAGACUGGCAGGCUCGAAUCCGGGAGAGGGAUGUGGAAUUCCAGGUGUAGCGGUGAAAUGCGUAGAUAUCGGGAGGAACACCUGAGGCGAGGGCGGGCUACUGGGCCGAUACUGACGCUGAUGCGCGAAAGCCAGGGGAGCGAACGGG